CCUACGGUGGGCAGCAGUGAGGAAUAUUGGUCAAUGGUCGGGAGACUGAACCAGCCACGCCGCGUGAGGGAGGAAGGUACAGAGUAUCGUAAACCUCUUUUGUCAGGGAACAAAAACUGGGACGCGUCCCCGAAUGAGUGUACCUGAAGAAAAAGCAUCGGCUAACUCCGUGCCAGCAGCCGCGGUAAUACGGAGGAUGCGAGCGUUAUCCGGAUUUAUUGGGUUUAAAGGGUGCGAAGGCGGUCUGUUAAGUCAGCGGUAAAAGCCCGGGGCUAAACCCCGGCCAGCCGUUGAAACUGGCAGUCUCGAGUUGGAGAGAGGUAUGCGGAAUGCGCGGUGUAGCGGUGAAAUGCAUAGAUAUUGCGCAGAACUCCGAUUGCGAAGGCAGCAUGCCGGCUCCAAACUGACGCUGAGGCACGAAAGCGUGGGUAUCGAACAGGAUUAGAUACCCCAGUAGUC
rnacentral:rRNA from 1 species